UACGUAGGGUGCAAGCGUUGUCCGGAAUUAUUGGGCGUAAAGAGCUCGUAGGCGGUUUGUCGCGUCUGCUGUGAAAACUCGGGGCUUAACCCUGAGCCUGCAGUGGGUACGGGCAGACGUAGAGUGUGGUAGGGGAGAUCGGAAUUCCUGGUGUAGCGGUGGAAUGCGCAGAUAUCAGGAGGAACACCGGUGGCGAAGGCGGAUCUCUGGGCCAUAACUGACGCUGAGGAGCGAAAGCAUGGGGAGCGAACAGG
rnacentral:rRNA from 1 species